rnacentral:rRNA from 1 species
AGAGUUUGAUCCUGGCUCAGGACUAACGCUGGCGGCGUGCCUAACACAUGCAAGUCGAACGAAGUAGCAAUACUUAGUGGCAGACGGGUGAGUAACACGUAGUCAACCUACCUUUAAGUGGGGGAUAACUAGCCGAAAGGUUAGCUAAUACCGCAUGUGAUCUCCGAGUGGCAUCACUUGGCGAUCAAAGCAGCAAUGCGCUUAGAGACGGGACUGCGUCCCAUUAGUUAGUUGGUGGGGUAACGGCCUACCAAGACUCCGAUGGGUAGCUGGCUUGAGAGAGCGACCAGCCACACUGGAACUGAGACACGGUCCAGGCUCCUACGGGAGGCAGCAGUGAGGAAUUUUCCGCAAUGGGGGCAACCCUGACGGAGCGACGCCGCGUGUGGGAAGAAGGCCUUCGGGUCGUAAACCACUGUCGAAGGGGACGAUAUUGACGGUACCCUUGGAGGAAGCCCCGGCUAACUACGUGCCAGCAGCCGCGGUAAGACGUAGGGGGCAAGCGUUGUCCGGAAUCAUUGGGCGUAAAGCGCUCGUAGGUGGAUCUUUAAGUCUGUG